rnacentral:rRNA from 1 species
CUCUACAUCCAUCCCACCCUGCACAUGCCCCAUCUCAUCUGGUUUUAGAACCUAAGCAGGGUCAGGUUAAUACUUGGAUAGGAGACCUAGAAAUACCAGAUACUGUAGGCU